UACGAACUGUGCAAACGUUAUUCGGAAUCACUGGGCUUACAGCGUGCGUAGACGGUUAUGUAAGUCAGGUGUGAAAGCCCCGGGCUCAACCUGGGAAUUGCAUUUGAGACUGCAUAGCUAGGGUGCGGAAGAGGGAAGCGGAAUUUCCGGUGUAGCGGUGAAAUGCGUAGAUAUGCGGAGGAACACCGAUGGCGAAGGCAAUCCCCUGGACCUGUACUGACGCUCAUGCACGAAAGCGUGGGGAGCAAACAGG
rnacentral:rRNA from 1 species